CUCUCUCUCUCUCUCUCUCUCUCUCUCUCUCUCUCUCUCUCUCUCUCUCUCUCUCUCUCUCUCUCUCUCUCUCUCUCUCUCUCUCUCUCUCUGGCGAAUCACUCUCUCCGGCGAACCCGUCGUCCUCCACCGAGAGAUUGAUGCUGUUACCAAAGUGAGCUCAGAGAAAACAGAUCUAGAAGCACACGACAGAGCUCUCCGCCGUUGUCGUCGACGAUUUCAUCCUCUUUGAUUUUUCUUUCAUCCUUCAACAAAUCUCUUAUGUCAUGGCUUUUCGGAUUAUUUUCGAUCAUCGUCUUCAACUUACAAGGUGUUUGAGGAAAUGUCUGUGAAUGAAUCUUUGUGUUUUUGCUCGAUGAGAGCGCAGUGGACCUUGAUGUGCUAGCGAGGGCUGACCUUCUCAAGUUCUUAAGUAAGAAAUGUGAGAAAAGAGAUGUUACACGUUGCAAAGAGACGCGCAUUAAAAAUGAAACCUUAAGAAAUACGAAAUUUUGUUCAGAUUUUCAGUCAAAUUCGACGGCAAAUUGCGAGCAUCUCAGAGUAAUCCAGGAAACUUGCCUUAUAUCAAUGGAAAGCUAGAAGAGUCUAGUUUCCAGAACAUUUCGCGGAUCGUUGAUAGCUAUUUUGUAGAGGAAGUUAUAGCCGUCGGAAUAAGGGAAGGUCAUUCUGCAGAAAACUGGAAAAGGAAGGAGAAAAGUCUACCAAGCAAGUGUUUAAGGACUUAAAAUGUUUAAGGAGAUGCAGAGAGUUGACGGUUUUGUUGAACAGCUAAAUGAAAGAUUACUUGUGUGGAACAUAUCUCUAUUUAUUAAGCUUGAUGUUUCUGUUUUUGGGUUCUUCAUUUUCAACACCCAAACAACUUCAUAAUGUUUUAUACUUAUGCAGAUUGUAUUGAGGGAAUGGAGUGAUAAAGUCAUACUGAAAUCAAUGUUAAGUG